GAGCCGAAGUCGGGCGCUUAACCGACUGAGCCACCCAGGCACCCCAGGCCUGGCAGUUUUGUCUGCUUCUUAUUGAAGUCUGCAAGCCAAGCCAUGUCCCGGGGUGACACUGACAAUCAGGAAGCAGCCAGAAGACCUGCGUUCACAAGCCCCUUGAAUCUGGUGGCUUGUCCGUUAGUCAAGACUGAAUUUCCCGAAGCAGACAAGGUCUGGGCAUUUGGAAGGGCUUUUGUUUGCUUGUGUGUUGUGUUUUGUUUUGUUUGAUGGGAGGGGGAUGUGGGGGCAGCUUGGAAGUGACAGAGGGUGACCGUUGACCUUUUACCCAGUUAAGGUCCUAAGGGCCCAGAGCCCAAGCGUGUGAACAGGUGGUUAAGGGACCUGGGAAGCCAAGCCACAGGCUCCCCCUUAGCCCUGCUGAUCAGGAAGCAUAAUGCAGACAAUAGUCAAUCCAUGGAAUCCUUGGACAGCCAUGUGGGGGGUUACCUCUCCCGUUCCAGCAGAAUUAUGGUGGCCAACUGAGAGACGACUGCCGGGAAGACAGGACUUGAUGGUGCACAGUCCCUCCCGCCUGGAAGCAUGCUUCUUCAGGACUGGGCCCCGCCAGAGACUCAGCCUCACAUCCGCAGCUGUCUGUCCCACCUCCGUCACCUCCCUGCAGGCUCCGGGAGGCUUAGCAGCUAGAGGUGAUAGACUCUGGAAAUCGAUGUCUGCCAGGAACUCGGAAUCUGGGUGUGCUCAGCUCUGCACACUACCCCUGACGGUCAUGGGAUCCCCUGAAACCCACCCCGCCCGACCCACCCUAAACUCAGCAUUUUGGUCAGGUCAGCAGCUGCAGUGGAAAAGACCCCUUUCCUCCAAUGGUCACGAACGUGGGUGUCCCUGCCCUACCGCUGCUGGGAAGCAAGGACAAACCAUUAACAGAACCUCGAAGUGGGGCGCGGUCCACGAGGUGGGGCUCAAGGACAGUCUUGGCUGGCUUGGCCCUCUGAAGUAGAUCUUCUUACCUCAAUCCUACAAUCAAUAGCUGCGGAGUCCGUGACUGUGCCAAGGACACACGGCCACUCAGAGGCACAACCGGGUCCAGGCUGGGCCGUCUGCCUGGGCUCCUAGUCCCUGGGGUCCUGGGGUCUGGAUCUGGUUCCCUUGGUCAUAUACUCAGCACCUGACAAUAAAUUACUUUUCUUCCAUGGC